AAUCUCCCCCUUCCAAAUUUAGGUUUCCCUCUCAUUUGUUCUCAAAUCUUUUCAUGACUUAAAAUCCAUAGUUUUCCCCUCCCAAUUUUGGUUUCGCUCUCAUUCACAUCACCCAGCACCGUUUCGCUUUUGCUAAUUCGUGUCAAUUUGGCGUGACUCACUUACCUCCUCGGUUCGGUUUGCUCUCGAUUGGGUGCUAUUUGAUCCCUUUCCCCCAAAUGUGCUAUUUGGUGCUUAUAUAAGAAGUGAUCUUGUGCCGAUGUGAAGCAGCAACUUUUAUCCUGGUUGAGGAUCCUAGAGAGAUCUCAAAGCAAAUUUAGGGGGUGGGAAAAAAAUGGAACAUGUGGAUAAAAAAUGGUACAUACGUGGAUAAAAAAUGAUUUUUUUUUAUGGAACAACACCGUUUAUGAUAUUGCAGUGUUCUUUGAGGGUGAGUCUCCUUCUUUCAUUAAUUGCCCAGUUUAUGCUUCCAAACUAAAAAUGACCAAUGUUGGACUGUGUUUCUUCAUAUAGAUUUCAUUUUCUUUAUUUACUGCUUUCCAUCUCACAAAGUAUGUCACAGAUUUCAGGUUCUAAUUGAUUUGCAGGUUUAGUCAAAAAAAAAAAAAAUUGAUUUGCAGGUACUGCAAAGAUCUAUAAAUUUGUAUUUAAACUUAAAUAAAUUGAGCUGGCAUCAUGUGUUGAAGUUGGGCUUCCAGCACUAUUUUGAUGGUUUUCAUCUCUCACGCAAGUAUAAUGAUUUUAAAUCCAUGAUAUAAUUUUCUUAAACUUAGAUUCUAAUGCUAAAUCUAAACGUGUUUAUUGUUUUCUACGAUACCGCAGUAUCUUCAUCGUUAUAUAAGCACCAAGAAGCCUACAUUUGACCGAUUCGUAGUUCUAUUUUCCAUCACAAUUGCUUGGUUAUUUCAAUGGCUGGCAAGGUUCACUAUAUUUUGUAAUUCUUUUUGGAAUUAUGGACAAGAAACUUAUGAUUGAUUUUUUAUGUGUCACUCUUAUUUUUAUUUUAGGGAGUAGCUUCUUUUUUCAAUGGCAUGUUUGGUAAGUUUACUUCAUAUUUUCUUCUCAUUAAAUUUUCUUUCUCCUCUGUCCUAAAUUUUUUUUGCACUAUGUAUGACUUAUGGUUUUAAAACAAGAUAUGCCACGCCACCAGAUUUUUAGAAGUACUUUUGUUUAUUUUUUUGUCAAACCUUUUGUUUAUGUCUGAUUCACAUCCAAACAAGUGACCAUGUGGAUCUUGUUCUCUUAACCUUGUGCCGUGAUCGUGACUCGUGAGUCCGUGUUCUGUGAAUAAUACGGAUGUGAUAAUUCAACUAAGUAAAGAAGAGAAUCAAAGUUCAAAUUUAAGUGUAAAUGUGUAAAGGAAAAUGCUGGAUUAUUGGCAAUAUCAGAUGGUUUUAUGAUUUUUGUCUCUGUAUUUGGUAUGCUAGACUAACAAUCUCUGCGCAACACCAUUUCAUAAUUUUAGCAUAUUUUAUAAUCUGUGUAACUUGAUAUUCUCUUUGUUACAUAAAUUUAGUGAUAUCUCAUGCUUCAUACUUUCCCUUUGAACCAGGAAAAUUUGGAGCAUUUUUUGCUUCGAUACCUUUGCCAAUCAUGGCAGCAUUAUACUGUGUAUUCUUCGGCUAUGUCAUCACAUGUUAUGAUUUUAAUGGAGUUGAAACAAGCCAAAGUGAAUCUUGGUAAUACUAUGGAUGAACUUGAGGCGAUACAAUCAUCUGUUGAAUCUUUAGAUUAGAAGAAGAAGGAGAAAGCUUUUCUGGAGAGGACACGAGAAAAGCUAGCAUCAAAGUUUGCAACUGUCUCUGCUCAAGAGAAGGUACAAGAGGAAGCAAG